GCAGGUGGGGAGGUGGUUGCCCCCGCUGCUUCGUUUUACGAAGCAAAACGGCGGGGGAGGAAAGUCCGGGCUCCAGAGGAUAUAGCGUAAUGGGUAAUGCCCAUCUCCGCCACAGAUCGUUGGCGGACGGAUCAGAGCCACAGAGACGAGUAUUAGAAAUGGGGUCAGAAUUAUUUAUUGCCCCAUUAAAUAGAAUGAAUAAAUAAUUCUGACCCCAUUUCUAAGAAGGUGAAACGCGGCAAUCUCUACGCGGAGCAAGGCAGAAUAGUCCCGCCUUUCCUGCUGGAUAAGCAGGAAUAAAGGUAAUCCGCCUGACAAUCCUCAUAGAUUUUUAUGAGGAAAGGCGGGAGGGUAAGCUGCUAGAGCCUUGAUGGUAACAUCAGGUCUUAGAGAAAUGGCCACUAACAGAUGCGGAUAAUCGUAUCAAAACAGAACCCGGCUUAUCUUCAUCUGCCCGG
rnacentral:RNase_P_RNA from 2 species